rnacentral:misc_RNA from 1 species
UCGGCUAUGACAAAUUUUCCAUUAUGAAAGGUUAGCGUCUUAAAGAGCACAAAUAUUCAUAUUUGAACAGAAUCUUUUCUUUUUCUGGAUUUUGCUUGUGACGCAGCUUUCUUUCUAUGCCUUCUCAGCUCUCACAUUUCUUGUUAGAAACAUUCACCAGCAAUUCCCCUCAGUAUUCAAUGCCUGGAACUUUCGUGAUGCUACUGCCUUCCAGCCUAGUAGGACAAAGCAUAUAUGGCUGUCUAAACUAACCAACAUUCUAGCUGAUGCUGCUAAACCAAUGCUUGUUCUCACUGCAAGAUCUUACCAAUUAACUGCUACAAUUGUCAGUUCUUAAGGCAAGGGAUCUACUAAAGGCAACCAAAGAAUGUAAACCUUUCAACAAGUUUCAUUUGAGAAGUUAGUUACAUGAUCUAUAGUCAGAUUCUCACAACUCAGCAAAGGAAUCAUAUAGUCUAUUUAGGUAAAAAUUUUAUUCACUCAUCUUUUGUAUACUACAGUAAAAGUGGUUUGUGAAUUUUCAUGAGACAUGAACUCAGUUCAGUUACAUAACAUUGAAUGUUUUCUGUUUCUCUUGGCUGUUGUGCAAAGGUGAACAUAAGAAAUUAUAGAACUUAAGUUGUUACACAGAUGAUAAAAGUUCAACAACUGGGAAAAAAGGAUAAACUCAGAAAUAAUAGAUUUGAUUUCCUUCUAUAUCUGUUCUGUAAUGCAUUAAAUAUUUAGACAAAUGAAGA